rnacentral:rRNA from 1 species
GGCUCAGAUUGAACGCUGGCGGCAGGCCUAACACAUGCAAGUCGAGCGGUAGCACAAGAGAGCUUGCUCUCUGGGUGACGAGCGGCGGACGGGUGAGUAAUGUCUGGGAAACUGCCUGAUGGCGGGGGAUAACUAGUGGAAACGGUAGCUAAUACCGCAUAACGUCGCAAGACCAAAGUGGGGGACCUUCGGGCCUCACGCCAUCAGAUGUGCCCAGGUGGGAUUAGCUGGUAGGUGGGGUAACGGCUCACCUAGGCGACGAUCCCUAGCUGGUCUGAGAGGAUGACCAGCCACACUGGAACUGAGACACGGUCCAGACUCCUACGGGAGGCAGCAGUGGGGAAUAUUGCACAAUGGGCGCAAGCCUGAUGCAGCCAUGCCGCGUGUGUGAAGAAGGCCUUCGGGUUGUAAAGCACUUUCAGCGAGGAGGAAGGGUAAUGU